rnacentral:rRNA from 1 species
AUUGAACGCUGGCGGCAGGCUUAACACAUGCAAGUCGAACGAGUGGCGGACGGGUGAGUAAUGUAUGGGGAACUGCCUGAUGGCGGGGGAUAACUACUGGAAACGGUAGCUAAUACCGCAUACAAUCAGAUGAACCCAUAUGGGAUUAGCUGGUAGGUGAGGGAACGGCUCCCCUGGGCGACGAUACCUAGCUGGUCUGAGAGGAUGACCAGCCACUCUGGAACUGGGACACGGCCCAGACCCCGACGGGAGGCAGCAGUGGGGAAUAUUGCACAUGGGGGGAAAGCCUGAGGCACCCAUGCCGCUUGUGUGAAGAAGGCCUUCGGGUUGUAAGGCACUUUCAGCGAGGAGGCGUUACUCGCAGAAGAAGCACCGGCUAACUCCGUGCCAGCAGCCGCGGUAAUUC